UAAGUCGAUGGCGACCGGCGCACGGGUGAGUAACACGUAUCCAACCUGCCGAUGACUCGGGGAUAGCCUUUCGAAAGAAAGAUUAAUACCCGAUGGCAUAGUUCUUCCGCAUGGUAGAACUAUUAAAGAAUUUCGGUCAUCGAUGGGGAUGCGUUCCAUUAGGUUGUUGGCGGGGUAACGGCCCACCAAGCCUUCGAUGGAUAGGGGUUCUGAGAGGAAGGUCCCCCACAUUGGAACUGAGACACGGUCCAAACUCCUACGGGAGGCAGCAUG
rnacentral:rRNA from 1 species